AACGUAUAUCAUACUUAUUAUUUUUUCCCAACAACAGCUAUUGUAUAUGUUUCUGUAUGCUAAGCUUUUCUCCAGUUUCACCACAUCCAAAAAUUUGAGAGAAGAAAAGAAGAGUUAGAUAUAAAAGGAGUAGAGAUACAGCGAAGCAACCUAGGUUGGAUUUUGAUGAAGCAUCCAAUGAUUUCUCUUGCCAUUACACAGAAGUUUUGCCAGCGAUUGGCCGAGACAGAGUCUAGUAGAGCCCAAGAAGAAUCUGCUCAAAGAAAACCUAGAGGGAAGAAAGCCCAAGAAGAAUCUGCUCAAAGAAAACUUAGAGGGAAGAAAGAGAACCACAUGUACUGCCGACGUUGCCCGACAGAAGCAUAAUAUGUAGAGCCUUGGUGAUGAUUUAGUAUGUGAAUGGGUACUACAACCUAGCCCCAUGGAUUGCUAAACCUAAAUGGUAUGAAUUCAAGUUCCUUUCAAAAUUAUUCUCUACAAUCUGUACAUUAUUCAGUGCUACAAAUGUACAUUAUUAGAUACUAUUGGUACAUUAUUUACUGUA